AUGAAUAGGCACUACGUUUUAUGCAAUGAAAGACAGGUACAGCUCAAAACCAACGUGUUAAUCAUGGCCAGCAGCGACGUUGUUUUCAGGCUGAAGCCAAGGGGCUUCUCUUUGCAUCUUUUCACUGAGGCAAGGGGCCUUCUAUUUGCUUCUGAAAUAGCAAAAGUUCUUCAACUAACAUCAGAUUACCUUUUUUUUUAUGGAACCUUGCCAGAGGACGGUCAGCUCCCGCAUCGCAUUAAAAAGAUAUUUUUGGUCCACUUAAUUGGGAAAACCAGACCAAGAAACCACACAAGAGCAUGGCAAAUUAAGGAAAACUGGCUAAAAACACCUAGACCACCAUUUUCAUAG
rnacentral:rRNA from 1 species